rnacentral:tRNA from 1 species
GCAGUGGCGGUUCAGUGGUAGAAUUCUUCCUUCCACACAAGAGACCCAGGUUCAAUUCCUAGCCAGUGCA